GACAGAGGUCCCGAGCGUUAGGCGGAAUCACUGGGCUUAAAGCGUGUGUAGGCGGAUCGUUAAGUACCUUGUGAAAUCCCACGGCUUAACCGUGGAACGGCUUGGUAUACUGGCGGUCUUGAGCCACUUAGGGGCUACCGGAACAAAUGGUGGAGCGGUGAAAUGCGUAGAUAUCAUUUGGAACGCCAAUGGUGAAAACAGGUAGCUGGGGGUGUGCUGACGCUGAGACACGAAAGCCAGGGGAGCAAACGGG
rnacentral:rRNA from 1 species